rnacentral:lncRNA from 1 species
AGAAAUAGUCUAAGGAACUAACUCAUGCCAGGUGGCUACAUACAAAGCAAAGUUGUGGACAUCUGUGUUGACACAUUGUAUGUUGUAGUCAGAUGGGCUUGAAUUCCUGCCUAGACCUUGCUAGGCACUGUGAUUUGGAGCGAGAUGUGCAACUUUGGGCAAGUUUCUGCCUAAGAAAAACGAGGAUAAAAUAUCUAAUUCUCAGGCUUGUUUUGAGAAUAAGGUGAAAAGAUAUCUAUACUGUGCCUAGCAAACAGUAGGCACUCAGUCAACCUAAGCCUACUUCUUUCCUAUUAAGAAGACAAACAUGUACAUCCACUAUUACUGUCAGCUGCUCAAUAGAAGAAAAUAAAUAGGCUAUAUGUCUAUAAAUAUUCUGUUCCUUUAGGAACAAAUAUUUAAUUGGUUUACAUGUUCCACAUGGACUAUUGUUGAAAUCAUUCAUUCAGCAACUUCUAUAGCAGUAACUAACAUUUACUGUGUGCCAGGGCCUUUCUAAAUGUCUUUACACAUAUUAACUCCUUUUCCUCGCAGCAUCACCAAGAAAAGAUGCUAUCAUCCCUAUUUUACAGCAGGAGACUUGGAGUCACAGAGCCGUUAAGUCACUUGUCUGAGGUCACACAGCUAGAUGAAAAUCCUAGGAUUCAAAUCCAAGCAGACUGCCUCUGGAGUCUGGGUUCAUAACCAUUAUGCCAUUGCACAUCUCUGAAACCACCUUUGCAAAAGUUAUAAUAGUGAGAAUACUAUGGCAGUGAAAGAGAUCUGACUUAACCAACUCCAUCUUGCCUGUAACCUCCAUUCCUGGGUGUGGGCCAAGCUAACUUUGGGAGAAAUCUAUCCUUAAAGCAAGGAUGAUAAUAUCCCUCCCCAAAUUAAACUGCCUUAGUAAAACUAAUGAAAGGCCACAAGGUUAGGGUUAUGAGAAGAAUCUGAGUUCUGCAAAGAUGUAGGUAUAGUUAAAGAAUAACCAGUCAUUGUUCUGGUGGUCACAAGAUUUGUAACUUCUCCAAUUACUCCUAUAAAUAACCUCUACUAUUGUAGAACCUAAUAUUGGCCUUUGGAGAUAUCUUUUCAGACUUUAGCUUUUCUGAUGACCAAGAUGACUCCAUUUGGACUUAUGACUCAAUGGGUCCUGUGGCCCCCACCCAGAAGCAGACUCAGGGCAUGAGGACCAUUUUCCACAUCCCUAUGAUUGCAUCCCCAACCAUCAGCAGCACCCAUUCCCUAGCCCCCUGCCCACCAAACUAUCUUGAAAAAACCCUAGCCUCUGAAUGUUUGGAGAGGCUGAUUUGAAUAAUAAUAAAAUUCUGCUCUCCUGUUUAGCUGGCCCUAUGUAUCUUGAACCCUUUCUCUAUUGCAAUUCCCUUGUCUUGAUACAUUGGUUUUAUCUGGGCAGCAAGUGAGAAGAACCUGUUGGGCAGCUAUAGCACCAGUUUCCCUGCUGAAAAAGAAGAGGAAAAGUACAUUGAAAGGAUGUUUUUUUCUCCUGAUGUUUGGAGAAUAUGAGGGACCUUUACUGUUGAGAUGUUAACUCAGCAGAGAAAAAGGGGGAGUGGACAAACAAGAAUGUAUCUAAAAAUGGUGAGGGCAGCAAAGAAUUAUGUCAGAACUGUUGGGAAUCCCAGUACUAGGAGAUCUUCCAUCCUGUGGCUGUGAGUUACCGUGGAUAUUUCUCUUUGUUCAUUAAGACAUUGUAGGGACAUUUAGUAUUCUUCAGAAGCCUCAGCUCUCCAUUUUGCCAUGGCAGUUAUUAGUUCCAUUAAAAGGUGAAGGCUUUCAGAGUGAAUGAAUUCUCCUUCCCUUACAGCCAGGGAAUGAGCUUCUCAGGUAUAAGAUAAUAUGGCAUUGUUCCAUAUUCCAUUCCCAACCCUGAGCUAAAGCUAGUGAAGGUGGUAGACUUUCAAGGUCAUUUAGACCCAAAACAUUCACUGGGGCCCUAGUUUGCAUAGUCACAGGUCAUCGCUCUACCCCUUUUAUUACUAACUUGUGGAUAUGAAGCCCACCAUGUUUCACCAUAUUCUGCCACUGCCAUCCAAAAUCCCAAUUUUCCUGGUCUUCCAGUCCCUCCUUCUCCCAGCCCCUACUGCUGUGCUUCCCCUUGUUGUCAACCUCCUGUCUUACACUUUCCAAAGUGUUUGCUGGACUUCCUAUUCCACUGUAAAAUCAUCCUAGCCUGCCAUUUGCCUUUUAGCAUUAAAAAAAUUGAAAAAUGUUACUUAGUCAAAUGUACUGAGUUAUUUUCUCAGUCUUUCCUCCCAUUGUUUUUAUGGUUAAGAAGUUAGUAAACCACUUUUAAAACCUCAUCACCCAUCUUAUAGAAUAGUUUUCCCCACAAUAGGUAGCUUGGGUGGUUUUAAGAGCCAAUAGACACCAGAGUUGUGAAAUUUGCAAUUCAUAUUUAAAUUUGACACUUAGGCACUUAAGUAGGUUUUAAUAUUUAUAUAGUAGGUCUAAAUAUUCAUAUAGCCUGGUUUACAUAUUAUAUAGCAGGUCUAAAUAUUCAUAUUUAACGAGAGCAAAACUCCAUCUCAAAAAAAAAAUCAGAUAUUGUGAGACUUACUCACUACCACGAGAACAGUAUGGGGGGAAUUGCCCUCAUGAUUCAAUUCUCUCCCACUGGGUCCCUCCCACAACAUGUGGGAAUUAUGGGAGCUACAAUUCAAGAUAUUUGGGUGGGGACACAGCCAUACCAUAUCAUUCCAUCCCUGGCCCCUCCCAAAUCUCAUGUCCUCACAUCUGAAAACCAAUCAUGCCUUCCCAACAGUCCC